rnacentral:misc_RNA from 1 species
GAUGAAGAACGCAGCGAAAUGCGAUAAGUAAUGUGAAUUGCAGAAUUCCGUGAAUCAUCGAAUUUUUGAACGCAUAUUGCGCCCUCUGGUAUUCCGGAGGGCAUGCCUGUCCGAGCGUCAUUGCUGCCCUCAAGCACGGCUUGUGUGUUGGGCCUCCGUCCUCCUCCCGGGGGACGGGCCCGAAAGGCAGCGGCGGCACCGCGUCCGGUCCUCGAGCGUAUGGGGCUUCGUCACCCGCUCUUGUAGGCCCGGCCGGCGCUUGCCGACACAUCAAUCUUUUUUCCAGGUUGACCUCGGAUCAGGUAGGGAUACCCGCUGAACUUAAGCAUAUCAAUAAGCCGGAGGA